rnacentral:misc_RNA from 1 species
UUUCCGUAGGUGAACCUGCGGAAGGAUCAUUAUUGUAUAACCGAGGUGCGAGGGCUGUCGCUGACCCGAAAGGUCGUGCACGCCCAAGUGCCCUCACACACAUCCAUCUCACCCCUAUGUGCACCACCGCGUGGGUCCCCCUUUGGCUUGUUCGGAGGGGGGCUUACGUUUUCACACAAACUUUGUAUGCAGUGUAGAAUGUAUUUUUUGUUUUUGCGAUCACGCAAUCAAUACGACUUUCAACAACGGAUCUCUUGGCUCUC